AGUCAUUUCCUGCUCAAAGAAGGAAGAAAGGGCACUUCGUGAACGAGUUAAUGGCAGAGACAUGGUACGCACUGGAAAUAAAAAACUAAACACGGCCCUCACAGGGACGGGCACACUGUCCACUUGUAGCUGCGCCCUAUGGCUUGUAGUGUGCUGAGCAACCGUGAGUCAAAGAAAUGACUGCUGUGACCACUUCACUCAUAAACAUCUAAACCAUCGCAAGUUCAUGAGUGGUGGCUUGCCAACCCCUAUCCUUUCUCCAUCGUUGACUAAUGGACUUCUUGGAGAACUGGCUAUUUGGCUAUCUGACUUUGGCCCGUUUGCUCUGUGUGCAUUAAUGUUCCGCACAGCUGGGAUUUUGAGCUGUUGCCAGUUGGUGGAAUCUCAGUAAAAUCUGUGGAUUAGAUGAAACUACCAUGUUAAUUUCCUGUGCUGCGGUGUAGAAUUCCACUCAGUUUAGGAAAUGCAAACUCAAGGAUUUAUGUGGGUGCUGGGGAUGGAACCCUGAGCCUUGUGUAUGUGAGGCAAACACUCUGCCACUGAGUCCCUCUCCUCCACCCUCCAUUCUACCUGUUGACUGACGUUGAGAAACUGCCCUCCAAAAAGGCCGAGGCCACUUGCCCUUCUCAAGGUUGGAGUGGGGGAGGGGAUUAGCUUGCUGUGAUCUCUGUCUACACCAAUGCCAAGCAGUGUACUCUUUGCCAUUGUGAUAGAUGAUAUACAGAUCUGUUACCGGCCUUUCUUUUAUUGCAAUGGGGUGGAGCACAUCUUACU